rnacentral:rRNA from 1 species
AUACGUAGGGAGCGAGCGUUGUCCGGAAUUACUGGGCGUAAAGGGCGCGUAGGCGGCGCUUCAAGUCGUCUGUCAAAUGGGAGGGCUUAACCCUUUUUCGCAGACGAAACUGGAGAGCUUGAGAAGCAGAGAGGCAAACAGAAUUCCUGGUGUAGCGGUGAAAUGCGUAGAUAUCAGGAAGAAUACCAGUGGCGAAGGCGGUUUGCUGGCUGCAUACUGACGCUGAAGCGCGAAAGCCAGGGGAGCAAACGGGAUUAGAUACCCCGGUAGUCCUGGCAGUAAACGAUGUAUGCUGGGUGUGAGACUAGCGAUAGUUUCGUGCCGAAGUUAACGCGAUAAGCAUACCGCCUGGGGAGUACGGUCGCAAGAUUGAAACUCAAAGGAAUUGGCGGGG